GAUGAAGAACGUAGCGAAAUGCGAUAAGUAAUGUGAAUUGCAGAAUUCAGUGCAUCAUCGAAUCUUUGAACGCACAUUGCGCCCGCUAGUAUUCUAGCGGGCAUGCCUGUUCGAGCGUCAUUUCAACCAUCAAGCCCUAGGCUUGCGUUGGAGCCCUGCGGCUGCCGCAGGCCCCUAAAAGCAGUGGCGGGCUCGCUAUCACACCGAGUGCAGUAGAUUACUCUUCGCUCAGGGCGUGUGGCGGGUUCCAGCCGUGAAACCCCCUACUUCUCAAGGUUGACCUCGGAUCAGGUAGGAAUACCCGCUGAACUUAAGCAUAUCAAUAAGCGGAGGA
rnacentral:misc_RNA from 1 species